UACGUAGGGUGCAAGCGUUAAUCGGAAUUACUGGGCGUAAAGCGUGCGCAGGCGGUGAUGUAAGACAGGUGUGAAAUCCCCGGGCUUAACCUGGGAACUGCAUUUGUGACUGCAUCGCUGGAGUGCGGCAGAGGGGGAUGGAAUUCCGCGUGUAGCAGUGAAAUGCGUAGAGAUGUGGAGGAACACCGAUGGCGAAGGCAGCCUCCUGGGCCAGCACUGACGCUCAUGCACGAAAGCGUGGGGAGCAAACAGG
rnacentral:rRNA from 1 species